rnacentral:rRNA from 1 species
GGGCUAUACCCGAGUCAUGACGUACCGUAGAAUACCGGUAUACGUGCCACAGCGCGGUAUACUAGGUGCAAGCGUUAUCGGAAUUACUGGCGUAAAGCGUGCGCAGCGGUAUAUAAACAAUGUGAAAUCCCCGGGCUCAACUGGGAACUGCAUUUGUGACUGUAUAGCUAGAGUGCGGCAGAGGGGGAUGGAAUUCCGCGUGUAGCAGUGAAAUGCGUAGAUAUGCGGAGGAACACCGAUGGCGAAGGCAAUCCCCUGGGCCUGCACUGACGCUCAUGCACGAAAGCGUGGGGAGCAAACAGGAUUAGAUACCCUGGUAGUCCGCGCCCGUAAACGGUGGGCGCUAGUUGUGGGGACCUUCCACGGUUUCUGCGACGCAGCUAACGCAUUAAGCGUCCCGACUGGGGAGUACGAUCGCAAGAUUAAGACUCAAAGGAAUUGACGGGGACCCGUACAAGCAGCGGAGCAUGCGGGUUAAUUCGACGC